rnacentral:misc_RNA from 1 species
UACGAAGGGGGCUAGCGUUGCUCGGAAUUACUGGGCGUAAAGCGCACGUAGGCGGGUCGAUCAGUCAGGGGUGAAAUCCCAGAGCUCAACUCUGGAACUGCCUUUGAUACUGUCGGCCUAGACCAGAGGAGAGGCGAGUGGAAUUCCGAGUGUAGAGGUGAAAUUCGUAGAUAUUCGGAGGAACACCAGUGGCGAAGGCGACUCGCUGGACUCUUGGUGACGCUGAGGUGCGAAAGCGUGGGGAGCAAACAGG